UACGUAGGGGGCAAGCGUUGUCCGGAUUUAUUGGGCGUAAAGAGCGUGUAGGCGGCCAGGUAGGUCUGCUGUGAAAACUCGAGGCUUAACCUCGAGCUGUCGGCGGAAACCCUCUGGCUAGAGUCCGGAAGAGGAGAGUGGGAAUUCCUGGUGUAGCGGUGAAAUGCGCAGAUAUCAGGAAGAACACCCGUGGCGAAGGCGGCUCUCUGGGACGGUACUGACGCUGAGACGCGAAAGCGUGGGGAGCAAACAGG
rnacentral:rRNA from 1 species